rnacentral:piRNA from 1 species
UCAUGAACAUGGCCAAGCUGAGUAUC